rnacentral:rRNA from 1 species
UACGAAGGGGGCUAGCGUUGCUCGGAAUCACUGGGCGUAAAGCGCACGUAGGCGGCUUUCUAAGUCAGGGGUGAAAUCCUGGAGCUCAACUCCAGAACUGCCUUUGAUACUGGAGAGCUUGAGUCCGGAAGAGGUGAGUGGAACUCCGAGUGUAGAGGUGAAAUUCGUAGAUAUUCGGAAGAACACCAGUGGCGAAGGCGGCUCACUGGUCCGGUACUAACGCUGAGACGCGAAAGCGUGGGGAGCGAACAGG